UACGUAGGUGGCAAGCGUUAUCCGGAUUUACUGGGUGUAAAGGGUGCGUAGGCGGGUAAUCAAGUCAGAUGUGAAAUACUUUGGCUCAACCAAAGAAUUGCAUUUGAAACUGAAUAUCUUGAGAGCGGGAGAGGUAAGCGGAAUUCCCAGUGUAGCGGUGAAAUGCGUAGAGAUUGGGAGGAACACCAGUGGCGAAGGCGGCUUACUGGACCGCAACUGACGCUGAAGCACGAGAGCGUGGGGAG
rnacentral:rRNA from 1 species